rnacentral:rRNA from 1 species
UACGGAGGGGGCAAGCGUUGUUCGGAUUUACUGGGCGUAAAGGGCGCGUAGGCGGCAAUUCAAGUCAGCUGUGAAAUCUCCGGGCUUAACUCGGAACGGUCAGCUGAUACUGCUUUGCUAGAGUGCAGAAGGGGCAACUGGAAUUCUCGGUGUAGCGGUGAAAUGCGUAGAUAUCGAGAGGAACACCUGCGGCGAAGGCGGGUUGCUGGGCUGAUACUGACGCUGAGGCGCGAAAGCCAGGGGAGCGAACGGG